AAAACUCAAAUUUGUAUGGAGUUGUACUGUUUGCCGCCAGGGAUGCUAUUCCAACUGCAUACAAAUUUUAGUUA
rnacentral:pre_miRNA from 1 species